AUGGUAAUUCCAGUUCUAUCGUUAUCAUCAUCAGCUUCAAUAAAAAAUAAAAAUCAUAAAAAAAAUGUAAUCGCACAAAUCGGCUCUGCAGAAUCACGAUUAAUAAGAUUUGCAGAUUCCUAUCAGAAUGCAAAACAAAUGAAAUUCACUCUUGAUUUUGGUCCAAUCAUAGCAUCGAAGGUCAGAGCUAUCGUAUAG